rnacentral:rRNA from 1 species
GGAUGAACGCUGGCGGCGUGCUUACCACAUGCAAGUCGAACGAGAAAUGUAGACGGACACCUUCGGGCGGAAGCCUUCAUUUCGAGUGGCGGACGGGUGAGUAACGCGUGGGUAACCUGCCUCAUACAGGGGGAUAACAGUUGGAAACGACUGUUAAUACCGCAUAAGACCACAGCAUCGCAUGAUGCGGGGGUAAAAACUCCGGUGGUAUGAGAUGGACCCGCGUUCGAUUAGCCAGUUGGCGGGGUAACGGCCCACCAAAGCGACGAUCGAUAGCCGAUCUGAGAGGAUGACCGGCCACAUUGGGACUGAGACACGGCCCAAACUCCUACGGGAGGCAGCAGUGGGGAAUAUUGCACAAUGGGGGAAAACCUGAUGCAGCGACGCCGCGUGAGUGAAGAAGUACUUCGGUAUGUAAAGCUCUAUCAGCAGGGAAGAAAAUGACGGUACCUGAGUAAGAAGCCCCGGCUAACUACGUG